GGAAGAAUGCACAAUAAUUGGAAAAGAAGUAAAGAAUGAGAACUCUUCCCUUUUAAGUUUCAUUGCAUUGGUAAGAGUAGGGGUUGCCAGCAGUAGCAAGAUCUCCUUCUCUUUAUGUUCCUCUUCUUUCUUCUUUUCUUCUUCUCUUUUCUUUCCCUCUUCUCUUCUCUCUAUCUCUCUUUUCUUUCUCUCUUCUUCUUCUCUCUCUCUUUUCUCUUCUUCUUCUCUCUCUCUUUUCUCUUCUAUCUCUCUUUUCUCUUCUUCUUCUCUCUCUCUCUUUCCUCUUUAUCUCUUCUUUCUUCCUCUUUUUGUCUCUCAACAUCUAAUCUCUUAACUUUUAACUCUAGUGUCUCAACCUUUAACUCCUUAAGUUUAAUUUCAAAUUCUAAUUUUUCUAGCAAUGAAUGAAUGCAUGUCAUCAAUGUCCCUUUCCCAAGCUAGGUAUGUUAAUGUGCCAAUGUCCUCUCCAAAGAAUGGAAUAUUUUCCCUAGCUUGUUUAUAUAACUCAUCCUCAAUCCUCUCAAAUUCAUAAAAUGAACAAGUUCUUCUUCUAGCUUCAUCAAGUUUGCUUUUAA
rnacentral:lncRNA from 1 species